GCCAGACUCCUACGGGAGGCAGCAGUGGGGAAUAUUGCACAAUGGGGGAAACCCUGAUGCAGCGACGCCGCGUGAGCGAUGAAGUAUUUCGGUAUGUAAAGCUCUCUCAGCAGGGAAGAAAAUGACGGUACCUGACUAAGAAGCCCCGGCUAACUACGUGCCAGCAGCCGCGGUAAUACGUAGGGGGCAAGCGUUAUCCGGAUUUACUGGGUGUAAAGGGAGCGUAGACGGCGGUGCAAGCCAGAUGUGAAAGCCCGGGGCUCAACCCCGGGACUGCAUUUGGAACUGCGCGGCUGGAGUGCAGGAGGGGCAGGCGGAAUUCCUGGUGUAGCGGUGAAAUGCGUAGAUAUCAGGAGGAACACCGGUGGCGAAGGCGGCCUGCUGGACUGCGACUGACGUUGAGGCCCGAAAGCGUGGGGAGCAAACAGGAUUAGAUACCCUUGUA
rnacentral:rRNA from 1 species